rnacentral:misc_RNA from 1 species
UAGAGAUCUUCUGUACAAAGACUACCAGAGCGACCACAAAUUCACCAUCACCACCUACUCCCCCACUGGAGUUGCUAUAACAUCUUCAGGAACGAAGAAGGGUGACCUAUUUCUUGCUGAUGUUAAUACUCAGCUGAAGAACAAAAAUAUCACAACCGAUAUCAAAGUUGACACAAGCUCCAAUCUUGUCACAACUAUCACUGUGGAUGAACCUGCUCCUGGAUUGAAGGCAAUAUUGAGUUUCAAAGUACCUGAUCAAAGGUCUGGCAAGGUGGAACUACAAUAUCUGCAUGAUUAUGCAGGAAUCAGCACGAGUAUUGGGUUGACAGCCAAUCCUAUUGUCAACUUUUCUGGUGUUAUUGGAUCGAACCUUCUUGCCCUUGGUACCGAUCUUUCAUUUGACACCAAAACUGGAAACUUCACCAAAGUCAAUGCUGGACUGAGCUUUGCCAACGCAGACCUAAUUGCUUCUCUGACCUUGAAUGACAAGGGUGAUACGUUGAGUGCAUCCUACUACCAUACGGUGAACCCUUUGACUAGCACCGCUGUUGGUGCGGAGGUUGCUCAUAGCUUUUCCUCCAAUGAGAAUACCAUCACGGUUGGCACCCAACAUGCACUUGAUCCACUUACCUCGGUGAAGGCUCGGGUGAACAACUUUGGCAAGGCAAGCGCUCUUAUCCAGCACGAGUGGCGUCCAAAAUCAUUCUUCACCGUAUCUGGGGAGGUAGACACGAAAGCGAUUGAGAAGAGCGCAAAAGUUGGACUAGCAUUGGCCCUGAAGCCAUGAUAGGAAAUUUUACUCGCUAGUCGCUAUGGCUGGAAGAAUUAUAAGGUAGGGCUUCUAGUACAUAGGCGGACUUGUUUGUUGAGACUUUGAGAUGAUGUGUUGAUGUCGCUCUUGCCAGUUGUUUUGGCUUGUCGAAAUAAAUGUUAAGAUGAUGGUGUCCUUAGACAGGCCUACUAUUUGGUCGGUGUUACCCCCUUCUUUUGCACUCUGAUCAGUCCCUUUUCAAACCGAG